rnacentral:tRNA from 1 species
UGGUAGCGCACCUGCCUUGGGAGCAGGGUGUCGCAGGUUCAAAUCCUGUCAUCU